UAUGAUCCUAAACACUAAACCUAAACUCUACACCCUAAAUCCCAAAACCUAAAAUCCAACCCUUAAUCCCUAACCCCUGAACCUUAAAUCCUAAACCCGAAACCGUAAGCCCUAAACCAUAAACUCUUAACCUUAAACCCUUAAACCUAAACCCUAAACCAUAGAUCCCAAAAUUUAAAACCUAAAUCCUACUUUAGGCUUCCGGAAUCCGGUUGCGGUUCUAGUUCUUAUGCUCAAUGAUACACAAAGCAUCUAGUCAUAUUUAACUACAAAUCCGGUAGCAAAGCUUCUUCUUUUUUCCCAAAGCUUUGAUGGUGAAGUAGAAAUUCUUAUAAGUUUUUGGUGUUUUGAAUCGUUUAACAAGGAAGCACUACUUUACUUUUCGAGAUCUGGUUGAGGUUCUAGUUUUCAAUUCAAUCAUACACAUGACAUGUAGUCAUAUUUCCCUCUGAAACGCUAACCAAGAUUCUUCUUGCUUCUUAAAAUAUUAUA
rnacentral:sRNA from 1 species